rnacentral:rRNA from 1 species
CGUGAAAUUGUUGAAAGGGAAGCGCUCAUGACCAGACUUGGGCUUGGUUGAUCAUCCAGGGUUCUCCCUGGUGCACUCUUCCAGCCCAGGCCAGCAUCAGUUCGCUAUGGGGGAUAAAGGCUUUGGGAAUGUGGCUCCUCCGGGAGUGUUAUAGCCCAUUGUGUAAUACCCUGUGGUGGACUGAGGUUCGCGCAUCUGCAAGGAUGCUGGCGUAAUGGUCAUCAGCGACCCGUCUUGAAACACGG